rnacentral:rRNA from 1 species
GACGAACGCUGGCGGCGUGCUUAACACAUGCAAGUCGAACGGAAAGGCCCUGCUUUUGUGGGGUGCUCGAGUGGCGACCUGGUGAGUAACACUUGAGUAACCUGCCCUUGACUUUGGGAUAACUUCAGGAAACUUGGGCUAAUACCGGAUAGGAGCUCCUGCUUCUUGGUGGGGGUUGGAAAGUUUCGGCGGUUGGGGAUGGACUCGCGGCUUAUCAGCUUGUUGGUGGGGUAGUGGAUUGCCAAGGCUUUGACGGGUAGACGGCCUGAGAGGGUGACCGGCCAAAUUGGGACUGAGAUAAGGCCCAGACUCAUCCGGGAGGCAGAAGUGGGGAAGAUUGCACAAUGGGAGGAAGCAUGAUGUAGCAACGCCGCGUGCGGGAUGACGGCCUUCGGGUUGUAAACCGAUUUCGCCUGUGACGAAGCGUGAGUGACGGUAAUGGGUAAAGAAGCACCGGCUAACUACGUG